AUUGAACGCUGGCGGCAUGCCUUACACAUGCAAGUCGAACGGCAGCGCGGGGCAACCUGGCGGCGAGUGGCGAACGGGUGAGUAAUAUAUCGGAACGUACCCUGGAGUGGGGGAUAACGUAGCGAAAGUUACGCUAAUACCGCAUACGAUCUAAGGAUGAAAGUGGGGGAUCGCAAGACCUCAUGCUCCUGGAGCGGCCGAUAUCUGAUUAGCUAGUUGGUAGGGUAAAAGCCUACCAAGGCUUCGAUCAGUAGCUGGUCUGAGAGGACGACCAGCCACACUGGAACUGAGACACGGUCCGGACUCCUACGGGAGGCAGCAGUGGGGAAUUUUGGACAAUGGGCGCAAGCCUGAUCCAGCAAUGCCGCGUGAGUGAAGAAGGCCUUCGGGUUGUAAAGCUCUUUUGUCAGGGAAGAAACGGUGAGGGCUAAUAUCCUUUGCUAAUGACGGUA
rnacentral:rRNA from 1 species